rnacentral:lncRNA from 1 species
AUACCAUUGUCACUAUAUUUUGCUUGUUUCAUUUGACUGCUUUAUCUUCCCUCUCAACUUACCUGUUGCUACUUGGAAUAUAUAUUGGUUCAUUAUGGUGUCAAGUGGCAACAUGGGGGUGUUUUAUUCCACAGAAAUACAAAAUUGAGGUCACUCAUGAAAAAAGCCAUGAUGAAGCUUGGUUUCCUGUUGGGAGCUGCCAUAUAGGAACCAAGUGUCCCUUAGCCUUGAGGGAUGAGAAUGUGGAGAUGUGGCAAGCCAGCCAUGGGUUGUAUUGUUAUGCCAGAUUCAUGGGACCCUAAUAGACCUCAAGGAGCUGAAUCCAAUGCAAUCACACAAGAGUCUUUAUUGCAAGCUCAAGCCUGAACUCACAACCUUUCCUGAGUCAGCAGU